CUACUUUUUGCUUCUCUAUUCGAUCUACAUGUUAAAGAGACAUUUAUCUUGUUCCAUCUUUCAUGAUGGAUGAAGUAGCCAAGGAGAGAGAGAGAGAGAAUCAUCAUGACACGUACAUUAACAACUUCUAUCAUCAGGUUUUCACGUUCACGAGAAAUUACAUAAAACUUAAAAAUGGCUCCGAAAGGAACAAUAAGUGACCUUGUGGAAGAAAAGAAAGAGGAAAAAAGGAAGCAACAAUUUUAGGAAGAAAUGAUGAUGAGAAGAAAUGAGAGAAUUAGAAUGAUUGGAGAAAAGAAGGAAGAAGAAAAUUGAAUGUAAAAGGAAGAGUGAGAUGAGAAUAAGAAAAAGAUGAAGAUGAAUGCGAAAAACGAAAGAUAAAAAUGAUGUCAGAAUAAAAAGAAAACCAAACAAUCACCUUGACCUACUCUUUUCUUUCUUCUCUUUCUAAUCAAACUGUUUCUCUUUCUCUUUUCUCUUUCUCGUCUCUCUCAUUCUCUAAUCAGCUGAGUUUAUUUUCCAAUUUCUUUCUGAUCCUCUGAUGUUCAUCGGGCUUUUUUCUCCUUUUAAUUUUCUUCCUCAUUGUUAAUUGUGAUUCUUUUUUCAAGAGAAACAAAAAAUUUCCGAUUCUUUGUUGUUCCAAACACAACAAUCGCAGUGACACUUUCUUCAUGAUGGUUACGCGAUUAACUAUUGACAAUUCUAAACUGUUUUUCUACUCAUGAAAAGCUUUUUUUUGCUCCACCAUCAACCCAGGAAAUGAUUGGGUGGAGAUGCUGUUGGAGGAGGGAAACGUUUCUCAAUCAAACCGGUGUAUGAAUCUCGUUCGGGUACUUGAGAGGAUAAUUUGUUUCUCCUUCACCUUCACCCUGAUAAAUAAGCGCCAUUCUCAUUCAUGUUGGAUUGAUCAUCAUCACCAUCGAGUCUUUACCACCGCCUACUUUAUUAUUCUUCACUUUUUCCAGGUUAACUCACAAGUAAACAAAACGGUUAUUUUUGUGCUUUCUAUUUACCUGGUAUUUUAAUUCUUGGAGCCAUAAAUUUAAUGCUUCAAGCCAAAUUCUAGCUACAUUUCUAUAUCCGGUUGCUUGUUAGUCGUCUAUUUAUAUGCUGAUUUUUACCGAAGAUACAACAAAAUGGCGACCGUUUUAAAGAAAAAGAAAAUCUUACCUGGUGAUUUGAAGAGAGAAAAAAGAACAGCAAAUUCACCAGAAGCGAUUGUUCUUCAUGUUGUCAAUCUUUUUGUAUCUUUUUUUUUGAUGUUCCAACUGUUGAACAACAACGAUAACAAUCAGAUCUCUGAUGGAAUGGCUUUUACAACAUGAUCGAUAAACUGACCAUCGCAUUUGAAGCUAAGGAUAACCAGUCUGGUCAAUUUGAAAUUGUGAUAAAAGCAAAAUAUUGUGAAGAGGAAGAAAUAACCAGAAAAAGAAAAAAUUUUAACAAAAACGACACAAGAAAAAAA